CUCCACAACUUGACCCGUGAACUUGGAGAGGAGGUUACGGUGAACCUGGCCGCAUAACCAUGUGAAGCUGGAAGGAGAGACAAGAACCACAAGCCAUCUUGAUUGUGCUGUGCAGCCUGCCUUGUCUGAGCAGCAGCAUCAUCAUCAAUAAAAUGAGCAUAGUUGAGAGAAUGAAAUGUAAUUACUCCCUGAGCUGACCGGGGCUCGAGCUGUGCAGCAGAGGAUACAGAGCAGCAUUGGACUUGAACCUGAGGUUAUUCUGUGUUGGCAAAACUCUGCCAUGGUUAUUCCUGCGUGACUUCAUUAGCUACGCUGGAUGUGCACAAGGAUUGCUGAGAGCCAGAUUUGGCUGUAGGUGUGUGCACUUUAAAUCUUGUUCUUGUCAUGUUUUGACAAAACUCCUGUGAAACUCAGUAGGACUGACAGCCUGAGCUGAUGCUAAGGGAAUAAAGACAGACAAUUUGCA